CUCUCUCUCUCUCACUCACUCUCUCUCUCUCUCUCUCUCUCUCUCUCUCUCUCUCUCUCUAUCUCACUCUCUCUCUCUCCUAACCCUAACCCCAACCCCAACCACAAACCUGACACGCCAGUGCCUCCGGCCUUGUUUCGGGUGGCGUCCUGCCUGCGAUGAUUGUCACUCUGGGUGGCCUGCUCGGGUCCUUGGGGUGGCCAUCGUUCGGCUUGGCGUCGCCUGGACAGGUUGUGAUGGAGCGAGCACACCCUCCUCUUCUCUCUUUUCUUUUUUUCACACUCUCUCUCUCUCUAUCCCUCUCCCUCUCCUCUCCUAAACCUAACCUUUACUCUCUCCUCUCCUAAACCUAACCUUUACUCUCUCUCUCAUCUCACUCUCUCUCUCUCUCUCUCACUCACUCUCUCUCUCUCUCUCUCUCUCUCUCUCUCUCUCUCUCUCUCUCUCUCUCUCUAUCUCACUCUCUCUCUC